rnacentral:sRNA from 1 species
GUGCCAGCAUCCGCGGUAAUACCAGCUCCAGGAGUGUCUAUGAUGAUUGCUGCGAUUAAAAGGUCCGUAGUCGGGGGGCAGCACCUGUCUGCAAUGCGGGCGAUCAAGCGCCGAGCAGGACGGGCACAGCCCCGCACAGGAGCGAUCGAGGGCCAUACUAUUGUGCAGCGAGAGGUGAAAUUUGAUGACCUGCGCAGGAGUAGCAGCGGCGAAGGCGCUGGCCAGGAGCGUAUCCGAUGAUCAAGGACGUAGGCUGGAGGAUCGAAGACGAUUAGAGACCGUAGUAGUUCCAGCAGUAAACGAUGCCUACACUGCUGCAGACGCGUCUGCGGCAGACGAGAAAUCGAGUGGGGCUACGGGGAGAGUACGCGCGCAAGCGCCAAAUUUAAAGGAAAUUGACGGAAGAACACCACAAGGAGUGGAGUGUGCGGCUUAAUUUGACUCAACGCGGGACAACUUACCACGCCCGAUGGCCGUGUGAGCGCGUGCGCGAUAGGCCAGCGAGUGGUGCAUGGCCGUUAUCGACUAGUGGGGUGACCUCUGGGUUAAGUCCGCAAAGUAGUGAGAUCCCGGGGCCCGCCCAUUUUAUAGAUGGCGGCGUCGACAGGCGCGAGAAGCGCGGGAAGGACGGGGCAAGAACAGGUCAGUGAUGCCCUUAGAUGGCGUGGGCUGCACGCGCACUACAGUGGUCGCAGCAGGAGCUUUCAGAGUGAAUGCGAUCGAGAGGGAAUGCGCGCUGUAAGGUGCACAGGAACGAGGAAUUGCUAGUAGCCGCUGCCUCACCAAGGAGCGGCGAAUGUGUCCCUGUUCUUUGUACACACCGCCCGUCGUUAUCGAAGAUGGCGCCAGGCGCGAACAAACGCAAGCGCGUGAGUGCAGGGCGCUAGAUCUGAUACAAGUCGUAACAAGGCAGCUGUAGGAGAACCUGCAGCUGGAUCAAAUGAUAAAAAUUCAAAAAAAUUCCCAGAAAAUCCCAUACGAUACAGAAAUAUAACACCACACACAAGGGAUCGUUUGGCUCCCGCGUCGAGGAAGGGCGCCCUGGCCGGCGACAGGCCCCGGAGCAAGCGCACCGACGGGGCGUGCCCGAAUGGUGCUCGGCGAGCACGGACACUCCUCGGAAUUAAGCAUAUGAAUAAAGGAAGGAAAAGAAACCAACAGGGAUUCCGCAGUAGCGGCGAGUGAACAGGGAACAGUCCGCCGGUGUAAUUCGCGAGAAGAUGUCGGGACUAAAGAUACGCCGGAAGCGGCUGCGAUGCCGCGCCACAGAGGGUGACGGCCCCGUACGGCCAAACAACCAACCAAACAUGAGUAGCCGUGCUCGGUAGUGCACGGUGAAGAGGUGGCAGUGUCCAUCUAAGACUAAAUACAGCGGGAGACCGAUAGCAGACAAGUAGGCCGACCGAAAGCGUGAAAUUGUGUGUGGAUCCGAGCAGAUCGGACCCGUCUUGAAACACGGACC